rnacentral:lncRNA from 1 species
GCACAGCCUGCUAGUCCCACGCUAAAGUGAUUGAGGAAUGGCACAGAGACGGGAGCGAACCCCCAGGGAGGCACCAGGCGAGUUGCCGGAAAGGAAGAGUUCGCUACAGGACAGACAGGCAUGCUAAAAUACUUACCUUGGACAUAAGCUAAGCUUUAAGUUUGUUGUUUAUAACUUCAAAGAGAGACAAGGGACAGUGACUUAAGAAUAUUCUAAGCUAUAAAUUUACAUGUGGACUUUGCUACACACCUGGGAUGCAGCCAGAUGAGUUUUGUUCCAUUGCAGUACAUCUGAUGACCAGAAUUCUAUCAGAGAAUGUUAAUGAACGAAAAGCCUGAGCUUUAAGACUGAGAUUGGUACCACGGGUAGUCAUGGCCACCUGCUGGCAGCGUAGGGUACUGCAGCCCAGCUAUGGUUCAGACUAAAAGCCGAGAAACGCCUGUGGUCCAGGGAAAGGUAUGAAGAUCAUAUAAACCGGCGGUGGACAGGAAAUGCCACAGUCAAGAAGAUGCCCCUGGGAUGCUGAGCUCUUAC